AAGCAUAUCAAUAAGCGGAGGAAAAGAAACCAACAGGGAUUGCCCUAGUAACGGCGAGUGAAGCGGCAACAGCUCAAAUUUGAAAUCUGGCUUUCGGGCCCGAGUUGUAAUUUGUAGAGGAUGACUUUGAUGCGGUGCCUUCCGAGUUCCCUGGAACGGGACGCCAUAGAGGGUGAGAGCCCCGUCUGGUUGGAUGCCAAAUCUCUGUAAGUCUCCUUCGACGAGUCGAGUAGUUUGGGAAUGCUGCUCUAAAUGGGAGGUAUAUGUCUUCUAAAGCUAAAUACCGGCCAGAGACCGAUAGCGCACAAGUAGAGUGAUCGAAAGAUGAAAAGCACUUUGAAAAGAGAGUUAAAAAGUACGUGAAAUUGUUGAAAGGGAAGCGUUUAUGACCAGACUUGGGCUUGGUUAAUCAUCUGGGGUUCUCCCCAGUGCACUUUUCCAGUCCAGGCCAGCAUCAGUUUUCGCCGGGGGAUAAAGGCUUCGGGAAUGUGGCUCCCCUCGGGGAGUGUUAUAGCCCGUUGUGUAAUACCCUGGCGGGGACUGAGGUUCGCGCUUCUGCAAGGAUGCUGGCGUAAUGGUCAUCAACGACCCGUCUUGAAACACGGACCAAGGAGUCGUCUUCGUAUGCGAGUGUUCGGGUGUCAAACCCCUACGCGUAAUGAAAGUGAACGCAGGUGAGAGCUUCGGCGCAUCAUCGACCGAUCCUGAUGUUCUCGGAUGGAUUUGAGUAAGAGCAUACGGGGCCGGACCCGAAAGAAGGUGAACUAUGCCUGUGUAGGGUGAAGCCAGAGGAAACUCUGGUGGAGGCUCGCAGCGGUUCUGACGUGCAAAUCGAUCGUCAAACAUGGGCAUGGGGGGCGAAAGACUAAUCGAACCUUCUAGUAGCUGGUUUCCGCCG
rnacentral:rRNA from 1 species